UACGGAGGAUCCAAGCGUUAUCCGGAUUUAUUGGGUUUAAAGGGUGCGCAGGCGGAAGAUUAAGUCGGCGGUGAAAUUUUGCAGCUCAACUGUAAAAGUGCCAUCGAUACUGGUUUUCUUGAGUGUGGAUGAAGUAGGCGGAAUUUGUGGUGUAGCGGUGAAAUGCAUAGAUAUCACGAGGAACUCCGAUUGCGCAGGCAGCUUACUAGGCCAUAACUGACGCUCAGGCACGAAGGCGUGGGGAUCAAACAGGAUUAUAUA
rnacentral:rRNA from 1 species